AUCAUUAGGUACCUUGAAGCUAAGCUUUUGUGAACAUGCAGAACUCUUUGGCUUGGAUGAUCAGGAUAGCACUUUUAACCGUUUUAAGUUAAAGCACCUAAUAUGCUAUUGUGCUAUGAGGAAUGGAAUAUGGGUAGAGUUCAUUAAUGUCACUGUGCUAAACUCUCAGAUUUAGUAAUGUUACUGCUACUGUUCUACUUUUGAAUAUCAGUCAACAUUUGAAGAACUUCCAGUAGCUACUGUGCAUUUUUGGCUGGAGGUCACUUGGAAAUAAUUUAUUAGCACUCCAAAUGCCAUAAUUUUAUUAAACUGGAUGUACAGUUGAAGGUCACCAAUCUUGCUUUUGGCUUCCAAACUCUCAGUGAAUCAUGCUAGAGUGUGCCUUGAAAACGAAGAAAAGUGUAAAGUCGGAAUUUAAUGCCAUAAGCUAAUUUUUUUUUCUUUUUUAAUCUUCCCUACAGAAAGAAAAAACUUUCUUUUUUAGAUAUGAGUCAUCCAAUAUGCACUUCUAGUUUAUUUGAAUACACUGAACAUUUCAGACAAAUGGAACGUUUGCAGAAUGUUACAAAUGUUGUCUUGAGAUCCAGGCUGUUUGCAGGGAAAAACAGAAGAAUAAAUGCUCCGUUUUGAAUGCUGGCAGACGAUCUCACAUGCACAAUAACAAAGGCAUGACCAUGCAUUGAUUUCAAGGAGCAGGAGAAGUCAGCUACCACGGGAUGGAGUGUCAGCAGAAGCCAUAUAAUAGCUUAUAGCAAGACCUACUCCUGCAUUCUGAUGCAUUAAGUGACGGUACUUAACUUGGUUUGGUGAUGAAUAGUGUCAGUCGACAAAAGUCAACGUUUUUCACAGCGAACAUCUUGUGUUUGCUGGUUAGAUUGUUCACUGAAUAAUUUCCUAGAAACUCACCAUCUGGCUGGCUUAGACAUACUUUUUUCCCAGUGCUUUACGAGACUAGCGAGACAUCACAGAGCUGC